UAUGGAGGGGGCUAGCGUUGUUCGGAAUUGCUGGGCGUAAAGCGUGCGUAGGCGGACCUGCAAGUCGGGGGUGAAAGCCCGAGGCUCAACCUCGGAACUGCCUUCGAUACUGCGGGUCUCGAGUCCGGGAGAGGUGAGUGGAAUUCCUAGUGUAGAGGUGAAAUUCGUAGAUAUUAGGAAGAACACCAGUGGCGAAGGCGGCUCACUGGCCCGGUACUGACGCUGAGGCGCGAAAGCGUGGGGAGCAAACAGG
rnacentral:rRNA from 1 species